GUAAUAAACUUAGGCCUGUUUGGACCCAAUUUUGAGCCUAAUCCUCUUGCUGGCAUGCUUGUAAGAGAUCCACUUCUUGUCAACAACAAACUUCUGUAUGAAAUAUUAAAUCCAGAUUCAUGCACUGAUGAAAACCACGAGGAUCUUGACUUUGGCAACCUCCUCUCCAAAAUGGCCACUCCCACUGCAUCUAUGGGUCUAACCGAGCUAUUUGAAAAUCUUGUUAGUUUAUUCAGCAGUGGAACGCCACAGAAUUCCUCAUCUGAUCCAUUUUCCAAGGGAGAGGGUGCACCAACAUUCUUGCUCUUUGGCAUGCCAGAAACUAAAGUAUCCAAGAAACUGGCCCUCAGUUUUAUUGCCUCUAAAGACUCUACCUUCGAAACUGUGGGUUUGGUCAAGGGUAAACCAGGAGGAGUAGGUGGCGGCGUUACUGUAAGAUAUGGUCACAACUUGAUGAAUCUAUUAACAGUUCGACGAGCACGGCCAAGACUUCUGGUAGAUGGCCCAAGUGGAACUGCAUUUCAUCCAGAUGUGGCAGAGGUAAUACCACGUGUUGAUGGUCUGAUAUGCUACAUGGAUUCCUCUUGUUGUUGUGAAAAUAUUGAAAAUGUCUUGCAUAGCAGCAAAAUGCAAAAUGGCUGCUGCACUCACACUCACACAAUAGAUGUGCUAGAACUUGAAGCUAUGAUGAGGACAAUUCCACCAGAUCUUUCUCCACCGAUCCUUGUUCUUCUAGCACACUUGGAUGACCCUCAUCCUACUUCCUCUGAUGACUCUGAUCUUGAUCAUGAUGAUUUUGCAAAUAUAAAGUCACGAGUACAUAAAAAAUCGCAGCCUCAUUUCAAUAGUCAUCAAGUACGUCACCGACCUACAAUGCUAUAUAAUGUUCUUGGGACUUUAGAUCUUCCAUGGGCUAUAUGUGAAGUUGAAGUGAAGACCCUUGCAGGCGUUCAUCGUGGUCUGAAUUGGCUUCUUCAUCGAACACUUAAACUUAAAAGUGGUUGAAUAUUGUGUAAAAUAGAUAUGACUUGGAGAUAGUUGAACUUUGCACAAAGGAUUUUGCCUGAUGGUAAUGAUAAUAUAGAAAAAUUGAUUAUAGAUGAGACGGAGGCUCAAGAAAAACAGACAUUAUAGUGGAGAAACUAUGAAGUAGGGAUUCGAAGCUAUUCACAAAAAUGAAAUCUGGAUUUUCCAGCUUACUUCAUGAAAUCUAAAAUAAGAUGCCAACUGAGUGUUGAAGCUGACCUUUGAUGUGCCUUAGCCAAAAUUGCUCCUUGGCUUCUUAGGCUAGUAAAAGAAACAUCCAUCUCAAUCAUUCACUUUGCAGUUGAAACAUUAAUAUUAUUUUUAAAUAAAAUUGUCAGAUAACAGCUGCAAACUUUUGUUUUUUGUUUUACUGCAGUUCACAUUGGAAAUAUUUUCUAAAGAUGGUACUUGUGUAGAUUUUUGUACAAUUAAAAUCCAAUACAGUACAUUAGUCUUGAAAAUAAUACUGCACAACAAAAGGUGAAGAAUAUGAAAUUGUUCUAUAAUUUUCUUAUAAAUUGCUGUUUUUGUUUCUGGAAACAAAUUAUUCAGUGGUUAUGUAGUGACCCAUUUAUUGAUGCUGUUUACAAAUAAUGUAUACACAACUUAAUAUUUGCAUAUUCUUUUAGUUAUCACUUAUGGGGGUAUGUGGAUGAUACUAAUAAUGCUCAAAGGUUAUGUGAAGGGAAAUUUGGUAGAAAACCCCCUGCUUUAGGGUUUUUUCAUGUGAUUUUCUCCUGCUAGGUUUCCGAAAAGUAUCUCUAGAAUGCCUCAUCAUAUUGACCUGAAACUCAAAAUACAGUAUGUACAGUACUUUUAAGUUUAAGCAAAUUGUAUUUAUA